rnacentral:lncRNA from 1 species
ACUACACAACAGACAUAAGAAAAUAUAUAGAAAAAUGAUAUAAGAUGGUAACUACCGAUGAAAUCGAGGAUGAUGCGUCCAUCGGAGCAGCGAGCGGAGGGGCGGUGAAAGAAGGUUCGGCCGUAGGGAGGAGAAAAGCAAUUGUGAGAGGGUAAGGCGGAACUGAGGUACAAGUUUCCGGUGUCAGCGAGGGAAUCGCCGAAGCUGAAGAUGGAGGAGAAGGGGCACGCCGUCGCUGAACCCGUCACAACAACAACUAGUGCUACUGCUACCACCAUCCAUCGUUGUUCCGCCAUGUUAGUUUUAUCGGCGCAUCACACGAACAAACAACGUGGGUCAGUGCUACAUAUGAACCGCAUUUAUUCUAAGAAACUCUUACUUUAAUCAUCUUUUACCAAGAGUCUCUCAUUUGAGAUGUUGAAAUUUGCAUGAGGCUCACUAAAGAUAUCACUUAUGAGGCUUCAUUAUUUAUUAAAAAAAAUAUGAGCUCCAUAUUUUACAAUAUAUGUAAUCAAUUAAUUACAUAAAUUAAAAAAAAAUAAAGUUGAAUAUGAGUUUUUGUAGCUUUGCUCUCCUCUUUAGUCUUUAUUCAGAUAGUGCUCCUCACGCCUAACCCUGCCAUUCAAAAACACGUGGUACACAUCAACAUCAUGAUUUGAAAUUUUCCAAAACUAGUUUUAGUCUUUUUGGACAUUAUUAAAAGAUAGGUGACAAAAAUUCAAAGUCACUUAAAUCUAACAUUUUGUUAUCUUUUCUGUGAUAAAUAUUUAUAGAAAAAUAUAACCUUAUUAAUAAUGAAUUUAGAGAAAUUUUUUAUAUAAGAAUUUACAUAAUUUAAUAUGACAUACAUUUAAAUUUUGUUAUCAUUAUAAUGGAAAAAAAAUUAUAACAAAGAAAAAAUACAAGAUUAAAAUAUAUGCUAUGAUUUUUUUGGUAAAUAAAAAUUAGGAAGAAGGAACAGUGUCCCAAAUCCCAAUGCCUCAAUUCAAAACAUGAAAACGGUUAAACUCAAGUAAAUAUACAAUGUAAUAUAUGAGACUAUCCUCCUCUACCAACUCUAUAUUCUUUUAUUAUAUUAUCUAAAGAAAACAAAUGUAUUGAAACUCAAUCAACCUCCACCUAAAUUUUAAUUAAUUUUGUUUGAAAAAAAGUCUACUUGAAUUAAUCAUGAAAGAAUGGUGAUUCACAUAUCAUCUUUCAGACUCCAGAGACACCCAACCAUCUUUGUUACAGUUAGAUCACUAGCUACAACGUGAAAAUUUUUAAAAAUGUGUUUUGUGAUGGUCUAUAACUGCCACAAACACGAAGUAUCGAAGUGUCCACACUGUAACGAGAUUCACCAAACGUUUUAUCAUAAAAAAAUUAGGAAGGAAAGCUGAGGUACACCUAACACAACACAACAAGGGAUAAAAAUCUGAGUCCAUCUCAUGGAAUAGGUAUCAUCAUAGCAGUCAAAUUUACAUACAAUGGCUAUGUGUUGACUGUUGAUUGAAUCAAUCAACAAUAAUAAUUCAUGUUUACAACAGAGCAAACCCCGGGGAGUCUGUAAAAUCAAGCAUUUAUUCAAACUUAUUUAUCAUCUCUUCUGUACAUUCCCUCCGGUGGAAACAUCCAAAUUACUAUAAGUCCCAUUAUGUUACAAUGUAGCUAUUGGAUAUAUCCAGAGUUUACAUUAUUUUUUAGGCACAAAGUACUAAAUUGAGGGACGGAGUAUGGUCCAUUCAUCAAACCAUCAGCAAUAAAUCCAUAUGCUGCCUCCGUCAAAUGAAUACCAUCCCACCCAAUAUACUCAGAAGGAUCAUCACAAGCAAUCACUCCAGGACUCCCACAACCUGCUGAUGCAUUGUAAUUGUAAGGACCUCCCAUUCCACAACAUAUUUCCAGACCUCUAAAACCUGCAGCAUCCACAUCAACAUAUAUAUAAAUACAAAUCAUAAUAUUACACUUUCAAAUUAGUUUUAUUAAUUUAUGAAUUAAUGUGUUCAGAUAUAUAUAUUUUUUACCAAAUUUUUGGGGAUUCUGAUAUAAUGGCAAUGCAGCAUUGUAGUAAUCAGCAUAGAUGAUGUUAGCAUGAGGGUGAAGUUCCCGAAGCCUGUGAAUUUCAAGUUGGAGCUUCUGGUUGUAAAAUUCAGCAAACUCGUUUAGCCACUUCAAGCACCCGGCCAGCUUGAUCAUAUUGGUUCUUAUCUGUGGUUUCAUACAUUGUUAAAUAGAUUGCAUUGCAUCCCAGUGGGAAAUUGCCAGGAACCAUGAGCGUGCGUGCACCUAGAUCAAUCAAUUCCUAUAAUCACACAAAAUACAUACAGUUUAUAAAACUCAUAUUCAAAUAGAUUAGUGAGAGAUUCAUAGAAACUACUAUAAAGCAAAAAAUUUCUUGCUACUUACAUUGAUAGCUGAAGUUAUUGCAUUGAUUACUGGCGGUACGUAUGUUUUAAUCUCUGCUAUGCUCAUUCGUCCGAAUAAAGGAUAAUUGAAAUCGUUGCCUCCAAUCUCUCCCACAAUAAAUAAUGAGUUUCCAAGAACUUCAUGGCAGCCUGAAAUAUUAAACCUUGAGUAAAUAUAUAUGGGUGCUACUCCAAUAUGUUCACAAAUACUACUACUUCCGAUUCACUUCCACAUUGCCAACUUGGAAUUCAUAAGGAAAAAAUAGGGAAAAUAUCUAUGUUGAGCCCCCUUUUUCUAAUAAGUUAAGUUGGAACAUCCACGUCAUUGUGGGAUUAGCUCUCCCAAGGUAUUGUAUCUAAUUUGUUUUGUCUAAUUUUUUUCUAAAGUAAAUGAAAGCUAUAGAGUUUUAAUGUCUUCACAUAUUAUUUUCUCUUCAAUCUCAUUUAUACUUAUUUUCUCCUUACAUCUUUAUUUUUUCUUAUCUCAUUAACUAUUAUAUCACUCAUUUAUCUCCUCAUUUUUCUAUCUCGCUCUAAAUGCGAGUGAAUUUGUGAUAUAAAGACAACUUUUUCCAAAGCUAUCUAAUUCUAAAGCAGGAGGCUUUCCCUAUGGGUUUUGAUGUAUCCAUACAAAUGUUACUUUUACCCAAAAAAAUCCUUAUACCUUCAUUUUUUUUCUUAUCACAUACUACUCAUUCCUGUUUAACUGUGGGGAUAGAGUAUAAACACAAAAAUAAAUAGUGCAAUUAAUUUUAUUAAUUUUCGUAAAACUAUUAUUAAUUUUCUUAUUUUACCCUCUAAAAUGUGUUUAUCUUUUCUAAUUUAUUGCUCCUACAAGAACAUUAUAAAAAAAUUAAUUCUUUUUUAAAAUGCUAAAUUAAUAAAUAUCUAAGAAUAUUUUUUCUUCAAAAUAAACCGUUAUUAUAUUUUUAAAGCAAAUAAUCAGUUAAUAGGAAUGAAUGUAAUAUAUAUGUCAUACUCAUAUCAUCAUAUCUUUAUUUUCUUUUCUCUUUUUUAUGUUUUCUUUAGCGUAUGUCGGUCAAAUUUCAGUAUCAACCCAUUUUUUAGCAACAGUGGUAUAUUUACAUCUCAUUUUUUAUACACUUCAUUUUCAUAUAUUUUUAUUUCUAUAUCUCUCCACUUAUUAUUUAUCACAUCUUAUAUUUUUCUCUAUUUUAAUUUUUCUUUUCUUUCCAUCUCUCUCCUUCUCCAUCUCUUUUCAUCUCAUUUUUUAGGUAUAAACAAACAAUUAUUCAUUUUCGAGUUCUCUUUUUUUUUUAUAAACAAAUAUUAGUUGCUAGAAUUGUUAAUAAAUUAAUUCAUCCCCUUCGGGUUCAAACUCGGGACCCUUCACGACACUCAACCCUUAUAUCCUUAGCUCUUACCACUUGAGCUAUCAUUUAAGGAUUAUUCGCUCAGUCCUAUUGAAACACGUGAGAGUCCCAAUAAUAUCUCGCUUGUAGUUGUUGCAAGUUAGGGUCACCCAACAACAACAAAAAACUAGAAAAACGCUCUAUAAUUGAUGACCCCACCCAUGUCUUUUCUAUUUCUCUAAAUCAAGUCUCAACUACUAAUAAUCAACACCGUCCACGAAACACACACACCUAUCAACAGAAACAGGGAGCAAACAACUCCUAUUCAACAUACACACCUAUCAUAAGCUAAGAUAGAAACACACUAAAGGGAUUAUAAUGAACAAAUAUAGUAUUUUUUAUAACAAAUCUUUUUUUAUACCCAUCAAAUAAGAUUUGAUCUCUUAAUUAAAUGCUUAAGGAAAACUUGAUAUUGUUAGUAGACCGUGUUCAUUCAUAUAUAUACUUCCGUAGUACCAAUAAUCAAUCAGUAACCAUAAGACUAAUCACUCAUACAUUACAACAAACUUUGGAAGUUAUGUAAAAAUGGUAGUGAAAAAAUGGCAUCUUACUUGUGGAAGAAUUGCAAAGUGCAGAGAGCAAUUCUUUGAACCAAUUCAAUUGUACCGGCAAAGAGUAAUUGACGGGAAGUUGAAUGCCCUUGUCUUGAAAGAAGGUCUCUUCCAACGCCGUGGCUCCAAUAACAGCAAAAUUGGCUCCCCCCUCUACAUUAAAAUUUUCCAAUCCACCAUGUUUCUUGAUCUCUAGAUACGGUUUCACAAAUGGAAGUCCCAGAGACUCAGCUGAAAACAAACAACCAAACAUGAAACAACCAUAACAUAAACACACACAUAUAUAUAUAUACACUACACAACAGACAUAAGAAAAGAGAAAGAUAUAUAUAAGAUGGUAUAUACCGAUAUAAUCGAUGAUGAUGCGUCCAUCGGAGCAGCGAGCAGAGGGGCGGUGAAAGUAGGUUCGGCCGUAGGGAGGGAAAAAACAAUGGUGAGAGGGUAAUGCGGAGCUGAGGUACAAGUUUCCGGUGUCAGCAAGGGAAUCGCCGAAGCUGAAGAUGGAGGAGAAGGAGCACGCCGUCGCUGAACCAGUUAGAACAACUAGUGCUGCUGCUACCACCAACCAUCUAUGAUCCGCCAUGUGAAUUUUGAUGGCGCAUCACACGAACAACGUCAGUGCUACAUAUAUAUAUGAACCACAUUUAUUCCAACAUAGUAGCUCUUACCUACUUCAAUCAUAUUUUUCCACCACAUUGUAUAUGGUUCACUAAAAGUAUGAGAUUGAUUUUUUUCUAUUUUUUGAGUGGAAAAAUGAACGAAAUUAAU